GUCAGUAAACAGCAACCUCACCAUGUGGGCCAGACUAAGAAAACGAAUUCUACAGGAGGGCUGAAACUACAUCGGUUGAGAUUGGCUAUAACAGCAGAAUCUUGCAAAUCUGAUUGUAAUUAUAUCUCCGUCCUCUUCUUAUACUUCAGUGAAAUAAGGAGGUGCUUAUCAGCUGCUUCCAAAUAUUCUUUGAUUGAUUAAUUGAUUCAUCGAUUGAAGUCUAUCUCAUCUAGAGCCAACUCUGAGCAACUUAGCUGUCUGUUUUUGUAGUGAGUAAGAAGUAUGAUUUUGACGGAGAGGUAUUUGUUCAUAAUGAAAUGGAACAGAGAAUGGAAUGGAAUGGAAUAGAAUAGAAUGCAGAGUAGAGUAGAGUAGGGUAGAGUAGAGUAGAGUGGAGUGGAGUGGAGUGGAAUGGAGU